AUGGUUUCGGUUUCAUCCUCUCCGCCUCGUCGGAUCGUCGUGCCUGCACCAACCUGCCCAGCUCCAUGGUUAUUUCCCUGGGAGGAUUUCCUGCUCUCACGCGCUGCUCAGUCUCCAGUUCAGCCGCGCGCUGCUCAGUCUCCAGUUCAGCCGCGCGCUGCUCAGUCUCCAGUUCAGCCGCGCGCUGCUCAGCCUCCAAGUCAGCCGCGCGCUGCUCAGUUUCCAGUUCAGCCGCGCGCUGCUCAGUCUCCAGAUCAGCCGCGCGCUGCUCAGUCUCCAGUUCAGCCGCGCGCUGUUCAAUCUCCAGCUCAAUCGUGCUUUGCCCAGUCUCCUGCUCAAUCGUGUUUUCCCCAGUCUCCAGCCCAAGCUCCAGACGCCGCGGCCCCGUUUCACCAUGCGGAUCCCGGUACAGAGGUCCGGUCCACACCGCGCCCAGCGCCUCAAACGACGGACAGUCGCAGCUGCUCCGGACGGCGACGGCGGCGGCGCGGGUCCAGGAUCCCGGGUCCCGCGGUCUCGGUCAUGGGGACCGAGCAGCCUUCUUCCCCGACAGAGGAGCCCCUUAAUUCUCUGACUGACUGUGUCCCUCUGAUAACAGGCAUCCCAGACAGCGUCGCCCGACGGGUCCACCUCCUCUGCUCUCCUCCAGUUGCCUUUCUCUUCGCCCACCUCAUGAACACCGCCAAUUCGGCUACAGACCAGGGCGCGAGAGAACAACUGUUCGAGGAAGCAGCCGCUCUCGUCCGGAGGGAGCCUGUCCUGCGUGAGGCCCUGCAACUCCCGGGCCUGCAGCCAGCGGUCGCUUCAUGCCCCACCUCUCAGUCAGCGGUCGUUCCAGUCCCCGUCACCCGUGGAGCCGCAGCGCCCGCCGGUCCCCAGGAGGAGGUCGCGCUAGCCGCAGUUCCUGCGCACCUCCAGGAGGAGGUCGCGCCAGCUACAGCUCCUGCGCACCUCCAGGAGGAGGUCGCGCCAGCUACAGCUCCUGCGCACCUCCAGGAGGAGGUCGCGCCAGCCGCAGUUCCUGCGCACCUCCAGGAGGAGGUCGCGCUAGUCGCAGUUCCUGCGCACCUCCAGGAGGAGGUCGCGCUAGUCGCAGUUCCUGCGCACCUCCAGGAGGAGGUCGCGCCAGUCGCAGUUCCUGCGCACCUCCAGGAGGAGGUCGCGCCAGUCGCAGUUCCUGCGCACCUCCAGGAGGAGGUCGCGCCAGUCGCAGUUCCUGCGCACCUCCAGGAGGAGGUCGCGCCAGUCGCAGUUCCUGCGCACCCCCAGGAGGAGGUCGCGCCAGUCGCAGUUCCUGCGCACCUCCAGGAGGAGGUCGCGCCAGUCGCAGUUCCUGCGCACCUCCAGGAGGAGGUCGCGCCAGUCGCAGUUCCUGCGCACCUCCAGGAGGAGGUCGCGCCAGUCGCAGUUCCUGCGCACCUCCAGGAGGAGGUCGCGCCAGUCGCAGUUCCUGCGCACCUCCAGGAGGAGGUCGCGCCAGUCGCAGUUCCUGCGCACCUCCAGGAGGGGCGCGCCGCGCAGUUCCUGCCUGCGCACCUCCAGGAGGAGGUCGCGCCAGUCGCAGUUCCUGCGCACCUCCAGGAGGAGGUCGCGCCAGUCGCAGUUCCUGCGCACCUCCAGGAGGAGGUCGCGCCAGCCGCAGUUCCUGCGCACCUCCAGGAGGAGGUCGCGCCAGCCGCAGUUCCUGCGCACCUCCAGGAGGAGGUCGCGCCAGCCGCAGUUCCUGCGCACCUCCAGGAGGAGGUCGCGCCAGCCGCAGUUCCUGCGCACCUCCAGGAGGAGGUCGCGCCAGCCGCAGUUCCUGCGCACCUCCAGGAGGAGGUCGCGCCAGCCGCAGUUCCUGCGCACCUCCAGGAGGAGGUCGCUCCCGUCGUAGCUCCUGCCGACCUCCAGGAGGGGGUCGCUCCCGCCGUAGCUCCUGCCGACCUCCAGGAGGGGGUCGCUCCCGUCCCGGCUCCGGCCGCAUCUGCAUCGGUCCCUGGCGGUCCGGCUCCGGCCGCAUCUGCUUCGGUUCCUGCCUCUCGUCGCGGUGGUCCAAGGAGGACGCCGCUGGUUCCUGCCUCGUCUCUGCCUUUGCUGCCGGACUGGUGGCCUCGCCCUCGGCGCAUCCUGCUGCUGGGAUGGCGCUGCCUCCUGCGGCGCCGUCCGCCUCGACUCCUCAACCGCCUGGAUCAGCGUCCGCCUGGUGGACGCUGCCAUGCGGGGUGGUCCCCGGGGACAUCGUCACAGCUCAAGGGCACUAAGAGUGCCAUCCUGGCUCAGCGGCUGCUGAGCAGGAUCUCGCCACGCCGUCACCCUCCGUGACGGAAUCCCUGGACUUUUUUUUAUUUUCCUGUUCAUGGACUUUGAGGUUUUCGUGUGGACUCUUGUUUUGGCCCUCCUCCGGUCCUCCCUCCACCCACCCUGCUCAUGUACCUUGAGGGGUAGGGAUUCGGUCCCUCCGCCUGGGACCACCCUCCGCCCGCCCUGGUUUGGGGGGGGAGGCUUCCGUAGGCGCCGUGGAAGGCGCCAUAGGGGGGGGGGGUACUGUCAUGAUCCGUGUCUUUGUUUCUAGUUGUUCCCUGUUUUCACGUCAUGUCCUGCUUGUCUUAUUUUGGUUCCAGUUUCCGUUUCCUGUUUUAUUUUGGUAGUCUCCCGGUCUCUGUUUUGUGUUCUAGCUUUACUUCCGGUUUCUUGUCUUGUCACAGCUGUCCCUGCUCAUUACCCACACCUGCACUCUGUUAGUCAUCAAGUCACUGUGUAUUUAACCACCACCUGUGUCCUUAGUUCCCUGCCAGAUUGUCGUAUUCGAGUUCCCUGAGUGUUCGUGUUUCUUGUGAGUUGAGCGUCCCUAGUCUCCUGAGUUCCCUGCGUGUUCGUGUUUUUCGUGUUUAUUCCUGUUUGCACCAUGUAUCCUGCCUGACCCUGGAGUAUCUACUGACCGUGAGUUUUUGCCUGUUCCCUGCCUGUACUUUUGUCGAGCCAUUUCGUGUAUGACCUGGACCGUCUGACCGUGCCUUAAGAAUAAACCUUUCUGAUCGUAAUCCUGCCUCUGUGCU
ensembl:lncRNA